rnacentral:rRNA from 1 species
UAGGGAAUCUUCGGCAAUGGACGAAAGUCUGACCGAGCAACGCCGCGUGAGUGAAGAAGGUUUUCGGAUCGUAAAACUCUGUUGUUAGAGAAGAACAAGGACGUUAGUAACUGAACGUCCCCUGACGGUAUCUAACCAGAAAGCCACGGCUAACUACGUGCCAGCAGCCGCGGUAAUACGUAGGUGGCAAGCGUUGUCCGGAUUUAUUGGGCGUAAAGCGAGCGCAGGCGGUUUCUUAAGUCUGAUGUGAAAGCCCCCGGCUCAACCGGGUAUGGUCAUUGGAAACUUGGAGACUUGAGUGCAGAAGAGGAGAGUGGAAUUCCAUGUGUAGCGGUGAAAUGCGUAGAUAUAUGGAGGAACACCAGUGGCGAAGGCGGCUCUCUGGUCUGUAACUGACGCUGAGGCUCGAAAGCGUGGGGAGCAAACAGG